rfam:Gossypium arboreum cultivar AKA8401 contig_104173_1, whole genome shotgun sequence.
AACCCAUGGUGAAGGUACCUUCUCAGUAAGUCCUUGUAUCUCUCCCAUACAUCAUUGAGUGUUUCUAAAUCCAUCUGCAAAAAAGAAGAGAUAUCAUUACGUAAUUU